rnacentral:rRNA from 1 species
CCCUUAGAUGUUCGGGGCCGCACGCGCGCUACACUGAAGGAAUCAGCACGUCUUUCUCCUUGUCCGAAAGGACUGGGUAACCCGCUGAACCUCCUUCGUGCUAGGGAUUGGGGCUUGUAAUUCUUCCCCAUGAACGAGGAAUUCCCAGUAAGCGCGAGUCAUAAGCUCGCGUUGAUUACGUCCCUGCCCUUUGUACACACCGCCCGUCGCUACUACCGAUUGGAUGGUUUAGUGAGAUCCUCGGAUUGGUCCCGGAGCGGCCUCUGGUCGUGCCGGAGUGCCGAAAAGAAUGUCGAACUUGAUCAUCUAGAGGAAGUAAAAGGCGUAACA